AGAGUUUGAUCCUGGCUCAGACUGAACGCUGGCGGCAGGCCUAAUACAUGCAAGUCGAACGGUAGCACAGAGAGCUUGCUCUCGGGUGACGAGUGGCGGACGGGUGAGCAAUGUCUGGGAAACUGCCCGAUGGAGGGGGAUAACUACUGGAAACGGUAGCUAAUACCGCAUAACGUCGCAAGACCAAAGAGGGGGACCUUCGGGCCUCUUGCCAUCGGAUGUGCCCAGAUGGGAUUAGCUUGUAGGUGGGGUAACGGCUCACCUAGGCGACGAUCCCUAGCUGGUCUGAGAGGAUGACCAGCCACACUGGAACUGAGACACGGUCCAGACUCCUACGGGAGGCAGCAGUGGGGAAUAUUGCACAAUGGGCGCAAGCCUGAUGCAGCCAUGCCGCGUGUAUGAAGAAGGCCUUCGGGUUGUAAAGUACUUUCAGCGAGGAGGAAGGUGUUGUGGUUAAUAACCACAGCAAUUGACGUUACUCGCAGAAGAAGCACCGGCUAACUCCGUGCCAGCAGCCGCGGUAAUACGGAGGGUGCAAGCGUUAAUCGGAAUUACUGGGCGUAAAGCGCACGCAGGCGGUCUGUCAAGUCGGAUGUGAAAUCCCCGGGCUCAACCUGGGAACUGCAUCCGAAACUGGCAGGCUAGAGUCUUGUAGAGGGGGGUAGAAUUCCAGGUGUAGCGGUGAAAUGCGUAGAGAUCUGGAGGAAUACCGGUGGCGAAGGCGGCCCCCUGGACAAAGACUGACGCUCAGGUGCGAAAGCGUGGGGAGCAAACAGGAUUAUAUACCCUGGUAGUCCACGCCGC
rnacentral:rRNA from 1 species